UUCAUUUAAGGAAAUGUUUCCUAUAUUGAAUAUAGCAUUUCUAGAUGUUCUUAUCAGAGGGUGUUUUAUAUUCAGUCUGACAUCUUGGGGAACUGGGAAGGCCUCGUGUUUCACUUAGAUUUUAGUUUUAUGUGAACCAACUUGUACGUCUUAGUAAUAAACACCAUGUGUGCAGGGGCAACAACACGUGGUCCUAUUCAAGGCCAUGGGCUUCAGAGUCGGAUCUUCUAGCAUCCAGAUUCCAGCUCUGUGCUCUCAACAAUGCAACCUGGGCUAGUUACCAAGCCUUGAUUUCCUCAAGUGUGCCAUGGGGAUAAAACGCCUUCCUCAAAGUGUUAACUGAAGAGUGAAAUAAGCUAAUGCAUAUACCCCAUGCUGGGAGCUGGAAAAUUCAGAAAUGGUCACCGUGAACUAUGCUUUACCAUCUGUUCGUCCAGUUCGGUGUCCUGACAGUUAGGAGGUACAGACUCAUUCACACCCCACCUCAGAGCUGAGGCUUAGAAAGGUCAGAACACAAAGUGAUCAAUGGCAGGAGAGCCCAAGGCCUCUAACCAAGAAGCUGAGUGUCUGCCACCACACCAGGGUUACCCUGGUGGGUGUAACUCGAAAUCGUACCUCUACUAGUAAUAAUAAUAGCAAAACUUAAAUAGUACUUACCAGGUGCCAGAUAGUCCUCCAGGUGCUUUUUUUUUUUUUUUUUUUUGAAUGUAUUUUAUUUAUUUGACAGGGAGAACACAGGCAGGGGGAGCAGCAGGCGGAGGGAGAGGGAAAGGGAGAAGCAGCCUUCCUGCUGAGCAGGGAACCAAAUGCGGGGCUCCAUCCCAGGACCCUGUCAUCAUGACCUGAGCCAAAGGCAGACGCUUAACCGACUGAGCCACCCAGGCACCCCUCCAGGUGCUUUCUAUACAAUAGCUUUCUAAUCGUCCUAGAAAUCAUAUGAAGAAGGUACUAUUAUUAUCCUUAUUUAUAAAAGUGGAAACCAAUGCAAAGAGAGGUUAAGUAACUUGUCCAAGGUCACUAGCUGAUAAGCGGUGAGGCUCGGAUUCAGUCUGGCUCCAAAGUACAUGCUCUUAAGCAAUGUCUAUCGAUCUCGGUUAUAUUAUUUUUUGUAAUUCACACACGAAGCACUCUAAAUGCUCCUUGUCUCCCACCUACUAUCAACUUCAAGUUUACACACUUUGUCCCUCAGAACCGUACAGUGCAGUGCGGCAGCCGCUAGUCCCACGUGGCUGUGGAAUAUCUGAAAUGGAGCGAGUCUGAACUGAGAUACGCUGUGAAUGCAAAGUAGAUCCUAAACGUGAAAUACUCAGUAUGAAAAAAAGGAUAAAAAGUAUCUCACUGGGGCACCCAGAUGGCUCAGUCGGUUAAGCCUGAGCCUUUGGCUCAGGUCAUGAUCUCAGGGUCCUGGGAUCAAGCCCUGCAUCGGGCUCUGCUUCCCUCUCUCUCUCCGUCUGCUUCUCUGCCUUGUGAAUUCUGUCAAAUAAAUAAAUAAAUAAAUAAUCUUUAAAAAAAAAAGGAUCUCACUAGUAGCUGCUGUAAUGACUACAUGUUGACAUGAUAAUAUUUGGGAUAUAUCAAGUUAAAUACAAAUGUAUUAUGAAAAUUUGCCCAUUUCCUUUAACUUUUUGAUGUGGCCACUAGAAAAUGUGAAAUUUCAAAUGUUGUCCACACGAGUGACUUCCAUUAUACUUCUCUGGGCAGCAGCGACGUUGGGGGAAGAUGAACCUGAUUAGCAGUCUUCAAACGUUUCUGCACAUGUACCCCCACAAUAAUGUUUUAAAUUAGGUACUCUUUCAUGCACCCUAGAAAAAUGCAUUGUAAUGACUCAGGAGGUGAUAAAAGGUGUAUCUGUCUUUUGCAAAGUCGGCAAAAAGGUCAUUAAGGUGGGGGAAAUGGCAAAGGAGGGAUGGCUUCCAGCCUGCGCCAAAGAGCCUCCCAAGGCACGGCGGGCAGCUUUAGGAAGGAGAGUGCAACAAAGUUGAUGCCGUGCAGCCAGCUAGUCAGGGUGCACCUCCUAAGUUCUCCUGCGAGCUCAGGGGUGUGUACCCAGUUUAGAAUCUGAUGGAAAGACAGACCGACAGCCUCCAGCUAAAACUGGGCAAGAAGUAGCAGGGGUUGAGAGGUUGGGGUACCAGCUGGUGGGUAUUAUAGAGGGCACGGAUUGCAUGGAGCACUGGGUGUGGUGAAAAAAUAAUGAAUACUGUUUUUCUGAAAAUAAAUAAAUUGAAAAAAUUAAAAAAAAAAAAAGAAAACAUAAAUCAAUAUCAAGAAAAAAAAAAAAAAAACUGGGCAAGGCCUGCCUUCCCUCCCCAGUGACACUGCCCGGCAGUCCCACUUGGUUCCUGCAGGGGGCAGGCUCGCCUCUGCCUGUGCACCCAGCCCGGAGGAAAGGCCUGAAAUUCCAGCACCAGAAGGGCCCUCUCACCACUCCCUGGGCGCCUCCUCUUUGGUCUUUCUGUUUAACCCCAGGCCAUGACCCAAAGUGUUCAACUUAAUCCUAAAAUACACACCUGCCACCACGUAGAGUCUCAGGACUCCACUGAUUCCUUUAAAUCUUUCACAGAUAACAUUACCUUGCAAACAGCUUGUUGUUGUUUUUUCUUUUCACUAAAUAGGCCGAACUUUCCAGUUGUUAUUAUAGGGCUUAGGGCUAGUUGGCAUUCCCGUUUAUUUCAGAAGGUCCAGGGAGCCUGAGGGAUAUCUUGGCACCCAAACCCUGAAGCUCAGCCCAAGAACAAAUGAUCCUUUUCACCUUCUCUUCCCACAAGGCAUGGAAAUGGCAGCAAGCUUUAAAAUAAGACACCAGGCUUUCCAGCUAACCUGCAGAUGGUCUGGGCCAAAAGCAGGAGAGGAACAGAGAGCUCACAGAAACCGGGCCGUAAAAGUUGCUGGGUGGGAUCCUGGAGGAUGCAAAGACGGUCUCCAUCUGGACCCCAGGAGAUCACUCUCGUCUCCUAAAACCUGAAGUUGAAGAGUUCAUGGCCCUCCCUUAAUGACCAGCCUGCCAGCCACCUGAGUUCUGUUAAUGUGUUGAUUUUCCCCUUUCCCAUUUUGGAGUCAAAACCCCAAGCCCAAUGAAACGCUCUUCAGAGAACUGGUCAAAGGAUAAUAAUCUCCCUUCACUGAACCUCCUAGCAGGUGAACCCAUUCAAAGAGGAUUUUAUGAUGGACUCUUGACAUGGAAAUGUUUGGUUAAGCCUGUUUUAUGGUUUGCCUUCUACUCAGAGCCCACCACAGUGACACAGAAUAAACUUCUGAGCUCUGCA